AGGUCUAUAGCCAAGCGGUAAGGCAACGGGUUUUGAUCCCGUCAUCCCAUGGUUCGAAUCCAUGUAGACCUGCCA
rnacentral:tRNA from 1 species